rnacentral:rRNA from 1 species
ACGGAGGAUCCGAGCGUUAUCCGGAUUUAUUGGGUUUAAAGGGUGCGUAGGCGGACUGUUAAGUCAGCUGUGAAAGUUUGCGGCUCAACCGUAAAAUUGCAGUUGAAACUGCCAGUCUUGAGUGUACAUGAGGUAGGCGGAAUUCGUGGUGUAGCGGUGAAAUGCUUAGAUAUCACGAAGAACUCCGAUUGCGUAGGCAGCUUACUAGGGUACAACUGACGCUGAGGCACGAAAGUGUGGGUAUCAAACAG